rnacentral:misc_RNA from 1 species
AAGUCGUAACAAGGUUUCCGUAGGUGAACCUGCGGAAGGAUCAUUAUCAAUAAUCCAAUUUACACUGUGAACAUUGAUGUUUAGUGGCUUACGUCAGUAGGCCACCCUUUUUCUAAAGAAAACACUAUCAAAAUGUCUUAAUCCAAUAGAAUCUAUAACAACUUUUAACAAUGGAUCUCUUGGCUCCU